rnacentral:tRNA from 1 species
GGAAUAUAGCUCAGUUGGUAGAGUGCUUGUCUUGCAUGCAAGGCCCUGGGUUCAAUCUCCAGCACCA